rnacentral:rRNA from 1 species
AGCGAACGCUGGCGGCAGGCCUAACACAUGCAAGUCGAACGGAUCCUUCGGGAUUAGUGGCGGACGGGUGAGUAACACGUGGGAACGUGCCCUUUGGUUCGGAACAACUCAGGGAAACUUGAGCUAAUACCGGAUGUGCCCUUCGGGGGAAAGAUUUAUCGCCAUUGGAGCGGCCCGCGUCUGAUUAGCUAGUUGGUGAGGUAAAGGCUCACCAAGGCGACGAUCAGUAGCCGGUCUGAGAGGAUGAUCAGCCACAUUGGGACUAAGACACGGCCCAAACUCCUACGGGAGGCAGCAGUGGGGAAUCUUGCGCAAUGGGCGAAAGCCUGACGCAGCCAUGCCGCGUGAAUGAUGAAGGUCUUAGGAUUGUAAAAUUCUUUCACCGGGGACGAUAAUGACGGUACCCGGAGAAGAAGCCCCGGCUAACUUCGUGCCAGCCGCCGCAGUAAAAC